rnacentral:rRNA from 1 species
AGUGAACGCUGGCGGUAGGCCUAACACAUGCAAGUCGAACGGCAGCACAGUAAGAGCUUGCUCUUACGGGUGGCGAGUGGCGGACGGGUGAGGAAUACAUCGGAAUCUACUUUUUCGUGGGGGAUAACGUAGGGAAACUUACGCUAAUACCUCAUACGACCUACGGGUGAAAGCAGGGGAUCUUCGGACCUUGCGCGACUGAAUGAGCCGAUGUCGGAUUAGCUAGUUGGCGGGGUAAAGGCCCACCAAGGCGACGAUCCGUAGCUGGACUGAGAGGAUGAUCAGCCACACUGGAACUGAGACACGGUCCAGACUCCUACGGGAGGCAGCAGUGGGGAAUAUUGGCCAAUGGGCGCAAGCCUGAUCCAGCCAUACCGCGUGAGUGAAGAAGGCCUUCGGGUUGUAAAGCCCUUUUGUUGGGAAAGAAAAGCAGCAUGUUAAUACCCCGCUGUUCUGACGGUACCCAAAGAAUAAGCACCGGCUAACUUCGUG